GGGGCCCGCACAAGCGUGGAGCAUGUGGUUAAUUCGAUGAUACGCGAGGAACCUUACCUGGGCUCAAAUGUAUGUUGACGUAUUCUGAAAGGGAUACUUCUUCGGACAAUAUACAAGGUGCUGCAUGGUUGUCGUCAGCUCGUGCCGUGAGGUGUCGGGUUAAGUCCCAUAACGAGCGCAACCCCUAUCAUUAGUUGCCAUCAGGUCAAGCUGGGGACUCUAAUGAAACUGCCUACGCAAGUAGUGAGGAAGGUGGGGAUGACGUCAAAUCAGCACGGCCCUUACGUCCAGGGCUACACACGUGCUACAAUGGCCGGUACAACGGGAAGCGAGUUCGCGAGGACGAGCGGAUCCCUCAAAGCCGGUCGCAGUUCGGAUUGAAGUCUGCAACUCGACUUCAUGAAGCUGGAAUCGCUAGUAAUCGUGGAUCAGCCAAGCCGCGGUGAAUACGUUCCCGGGCCUU
rnacentral:rRNA from 1 species